ACGAACGCUGGCGGCGUGCUUAACACAUGCAAGUCGAGCGGAAAGGCCUUUCGGGGUACUCGAGCGGCGAACGGGUGAGUAACACGUGAGCAACCUGCCUCUGACUUUGGGAUAACCCUCGGAAACGGGGGCUAAUACCGGAUACGACCUCGCUGGGCAUCUGGUGGGGUGGAAAGCUUUUGUGGUCAGGGAUGGGCUCGCGGCCUAUCAGCUUGUUGGUGGGGUGAUGGCCUACCAAGGCGGUGACGGGUAGCCG
rnacentral:rRNA from 1 species